GAAAUGCGAUAAGUAAUGCGAAUUGCAGAAUUCAGUGAAUCAUCGAAUCUUUGAACGCACAUUGCGCCCCCCAGUACUCUGGGAGGCACGCCUGUCUGAGCGUCAUUGCUGCCCUUCAAGCCCGGCUUGUGUGUUGGGUCGUCGUCCCCUCCGGGGGACGGGCCCGAAAGGCAGCGGCGGCACCGCGUCCGGUCCUCGAGCGUAUGGGGCUUUGUCACCCGCUCGAUAAGGACCGGCCGGGCGCCAGCCGGCGUCUCCAACCUUUUUUUCUCAGGUUGACCUCGGAUCAGGUAGGGAUACCCGCUGAACUUAAGC
rnacentral:misc_RNA from 1 species